rnacentral:lncRNA from 1 species
GCUGGAGGGAAUGUGGAACUGAGAUCUGGCCCUUAGUAUAAUCUUCUCGUCUCUUUCUCUCUCCCUCUCCCUCUCUUUCUGUAUAGAUCUGGCACGGCCUUGCUCUCUCGACUCCCAGAUCUUUGUUUCGGUGGCGGCGGCCAGAAAGAGUAAGAGAGCGCUGUGCUCUCAUUUCCCUCUGUCCCCCCCCCCUUUAAAAGUCUCCUCUUCCAACUUUCCUCCAGUUAUUCCCUCCUCAACCCGACUGACAGCAUUUGCUGAAAAAUCUACAGCUUUGUUUGUCUUAUAUGGUGGAAAUAUGGUCAUUUGCAUUGAGAAGACCUGCCAGAAUAGCAGAACAUCUGGAAAGCUGCCCAAAGUCACCAAUUCAUCAAGCCUGUUCCCCAUAUGUGAUAUAACCUGCACCACGAGGAAAAGCUCAUAG